rnacentral:lncRNA from 1 species
CCCUUAUAGAAAAAGGAAAAAGCUCAUAAAGUUUUAUCAGAUAUGCCUUAUAUGCGAAGACAAUCGCAUGUUUGCUCAAAAUCUCUAAUGUGAAUGUAAGGGUUUUCGUCUUCCUUUCCCAAAAAAGAUAGGCUCUCAAUCAUGGCAAUUAACCACGGACUUAGCCUAUACUGGGUUGUUUGGAUAGGCUGUGAUGACUCCCAUGGUAAAAGGUCAGAGUCCGAAGGUGUUGCAUAUUGGUAGAUCGAUUUAGAAUCUUGGUUUUUCAUAUGGUAAGAAUAAAUAAAAUAAAGAAAAUAAAAAGAUAAGAAAAGAUAAAAGUAUAGAUACAAGCUAGUAGCAAGACUCAAGGUUAUCUCAGCAAACCGUCUUUCUCCCUGGCAACGGCGCCAGAAAUGCUUGUUGAUAUUUGGUAAUGCAAUGAGGAAUUGAUCCGCAAGCGCAC